GUGGGGGAUAUUGCACAAUGGGGGAAACCCUGAUGCAGCGACGCCGCGUGAAGGAAGACGUACUUCGGUAUGUAAACUUCUAUCAGCAGGGAAGAAGAUGACGGUACCUGACUAAGAAGCCCCGGCUAACUACGUGCCAGCAGCCGCGGUAAUACGUAGGGGGCAAGCGUUAUCCGGCUUUACUGGGUGUAAAGGGAGCGUAGACGGUGAAGCAAGUCUGAUGUGAAAACCCGGGGCUCAACUCCGGGAUUGCAUUGGAAACUGUGUUACUUGAGUGCUGGAGGGGCAAGCGGAAUUCCUGGUGUAGCGGUGAAAUGCGUAGAUAUCAGGAAGAACACCGGUGGCGAAGGCGGCUUGCUGGACAGUAACUGACGUUGAGGCUCGAAAGCGUGGGGAGCAAACAGGAUUAGAAACCCCAGUAGUCC
rnacentral:rRNA from 1 species